GGAUGUGCCGCAAGGUGCAUGGCAGACGGGUGAGUAACGCGUAGGGAAUCUACCUCUUUGUGGGGAAUAACGCUCCGAAAGGAGUGGUAAUACCGCAUGAGACCGUGGACUGGGAUGUUCACGGUGAAACCUGGGGACCGAAAGGCCUGGGGCAAGGAGAGGAUCCUGCGUCUGAUUAGCUAGUUGGCGGGGUAAUGGCCCACCAAGGCGACGAUCAGUAGCCGGCCUGAGAGGGUGAUCGGCCACACUGGAACUGAGACACGGUCCAGACUCCUACGGGAGGCAGCAGUGGGGAAUUUUGCGCAAUGGACGAAAGUCUGACGCAGCAACGCCGCGUGGGUGAUGAAGG
rnacentral:rRNA from 1 species